rnacentral:lncRNA from 1 species
AUCAUAGAGUCAGAACUAUGAGGGUACCAUGGAAGUCACUUACUACAUCUCUUUUGUUUUGCAGAAGAGAAAACCAAAUCCUAGAGAAGGAAAAGGAUUUGUCCAAGGCAUGGAAGGAAUCAUUAAAUACCCAUUUCAUGUAGAGGUGGGGAUGGAGCAAUAAGCAUUUAUUAUGCAUCUACUAUAUGCCAGGGAUGAGGUUAAAUAAUUCCAUAGGAUAUGAGCUGACUUGUGACAUUCCUCAAUUCCUCACUCCAUGAUCCCUGUCUGAAGCUGGGAGCCUGACUAGCAUUGUGAAGAUAAUGGAGUCAACUAACAUGUACUGGUUUGAGAAAUGAGAAUGAAUGGUAUCUUAUAAGCAGAGUGGAGAGAGGCUUCAAUCUGCAGUGCUGGGGAAAAAAAACCCUCUAGUUUGAUGUAUGAAAAUGGAACAGCCAAAGAAAGACUUUUUAAAAAUGUUACAAGCUUCAUCCUACAGGCUUUCAUAAAAAGGUGAGAUGAAAGACAGCAGAUGGAUUUAUCUUUUUUACUUAGCUGUGAAACUACAAAUCAGCUUCAUAUAAACAGAUCUCUCAGCCAAAUAUAGCUUGACAGUAAUUCUAUAAGAUUCAUCAAGUCAAGGAAAGUGAUUAUGUCUGAUGAUAUGAAAUAAUGUGAAAGCAGAGUAUCUCCCAUGAUUUCAAUAUAUAAGACUAAAG